AUCGAAGUAGGGAGAGCCGUGAUUCAAGUGUUUUUAAAAUUCGUUUAGUGUACUAUGCCAACUUCAUCUCAGUUGGUUUCUCUUGUGACUGGCCUUGCAGUGGGCAAUGUAUUUGGUGUGUAUUUAGCUCAGACAUAUGAGUUACCAAACUUACAUAGCCUUGUGGAAGACCUCUUCUCCAGAGCAAAGCAAUAUGAAAAAUCAACUAGAAAGUCUGAUGAUGAGAAAGAACAGUAACAGCAAGAAGAUGCUGUGAGCUCGGAACAGCAAAGACGCAGAAAACAGAAAUCAUUACCAGAGUAUUUGCCCAGGGGGGGUCUCCCAUAUAAAAGGGACAGGAACUCUCAUCAGAAACUUUGAAAAGAGAGUUACCAAAG